CCUGCAGCUCCUCCAUGUGCUCCAGCACCGCCGUCUUGGUCUCCGAGUCCUCCAGCAUGGCCCCCACGUCGAAGACGUUGUCCAGGAUUUCCAACCUGCUGGACCCAGCCCGGCGGAAAUCGGCGCUUCCUGGGGCCUCGCGGCUGCAGCGGAAACACCCCGAGGUUCCCCGGCUGCCUGUCCCCUCCUGCCACCACUGCUGUGACACUCGGAGCCAUCACAGGCGCCACCACCCUGCUCAGCCACCCGCCAAUAUGGGCGUCCCACGGCAAACCCCCUCCUCGGGGUUUCGGGGUCCCACGGGGGUCCCGCCCGGCAGAGCCCUUUGCCAUCACGGCCCCGGAGCCCACGCUGGGGGCAGAGAACCUCCAGAGGCUCUGGCUGAGAUGCUCAUCCCCAAAUAAUCCCCCAAACGCCACGAGUUUAAAAGCUUCCAAAUAAUUUGUGCUCAGGGGCUGCGAUGGGGGAUCCCACCGAGCCGAUCCCGGUGCAUCCAUGGGAGCUCAUUGCCCGCGGCCGCUCCCGGCACGGGAUCGGCGAACAGGCUCCAUCUCCCGGGAUCCCGGGGGGAUCAGGGGAUUAAAGCAGCGAUUUUUUUU